rnacentral:tRNA from 1 species
GGUGGCUCAGUGUCGAGCGCUUGCCUUGCAUGCAGGAGGCCCUGGGUUCAAUUCCUCAGCACCA